rnacentral:rRNA from 1 species
UACAGAGGGUGCGAGCGUUGUCCGGAAUCAGCUGGGCGUAAAGGGCGCGUAGGCGGCUUGGUAAGUAGGGGGUGAAACUCUUGCGGCUCAACUGCAAGGCUGCCUUCUAAACUGUCGGGGCUAGAGCACGGUAGAGGCAGAUGGAAUUCCCGGUGUAGCGGUGGAAUGCCGUAGAGAAUCGGGAAGAACAUCAGUGGGCGAA